CAAUUGCAACAAAAAGGCAUGCUUCCCAAUCCCAAGGUAUAGAAUUCAAUUAAAGGUUAAAGAUAGCUCAGGAAUGGCCACAUUCAUUUUAUUUGAUUCAGAAGCAGAAAAAUUACUCAACAUAUCAGCCAAAGACCUUUUGAAUAAAUCUUUAGAGGAGCCCGAUGAAGUCAUCCUUCCUGUGCAAAUAGAAAAUCUGAAAGGAAAACAAUUUGUUUUCCAAAUACAACUAAAUA